rnacentral:misc_RNA from 1 species
GAUGAAGAACGCAGCGAAAUGCGAUAAGUAAUGUGAAUUGCAGAAUUCAGUGAAUCAUCGAAUCUUUGAACGCACAUUGCGCCCGCCAGUAUUCUGGCGAGCAUGCCUGUUCGAGCGUCAUUUCAACCAUCAAGCCCCAGGCUUGUGUUGGAGCCCUGCGGCUGCCGCAGCCUCCCAAAACCAGUGGCGGGCUCGCUAUCACACCGAGUGCAGUAGUUUACUCUUCGCUCAGGACGUGUAGCGGGUUCCGGCCGUGAAACCCCCCAAUUUUCAAGGUUGACCUCGGAUCAGGUAGGAAUACCCGCUGAACUUAAGCAUAUCAAUAAGCGGAGGA